UACGUAGGGAGCAAGCGUUGUCCGGAUUUAUUGGGCGUAAAGAGCUCGUAGGCGGCUUGGCAAGUCAGAUGUGAAAACUCCAGGCUCAACCUGGAGACGCCAUUUGAUACUGCCAUGGCUUGAGUUCGGUAGGGGACCAUGGAAUUCCUGGUGUAGCGGUGAAAUGCGCAGAUAUCAGGAGGAACACCGAUGGCGAAGGCAGUGGUCUGGGGCCGAUACUGACGUGAGGAGCGAAAGCGUGGGGAGCGAACAGG
rnacentral:rRNA from 1 species